rnacentral:rRNA from 1 species
UACGUAGGGGGCUAGCGUUGUCCGGAAUCAUUGGGCGUAAAGCGCGUGUAGGCGGUCCGGUAAGUCCGCUGUGAAAGUCGAGGGCUCAACCCUCGAAUGCCGGUGGAUACUGUCGGGCUUGAGUACGGGAGAGGCGAGUGGAAUUCCUGGUGUAGCGGUGAAAUGCGCAGAUAUCAGGAGGAACACCGAUUGCGAAGGCAGCUCGCUGGAACGUUACUGACGCUGAGACGCGAAAGCGUGGGUAGCAAACAGG